rnacentral:rRNA from 1 species
UACGUAGGGGGCGAGCGUUGUCCGGAUUCAUUGGGCGUAAAGAGCUCGUAGGCGGUUCGCUAAGUCAGGUGUGAAAUCUCCACGCUCAACGUGGAGGGGCCACCUGAUACUGGCGUGACUCGAGUCCGGUAGGGGAGUGUGGAAUUCCCGGUGUAGCGGUGAAAUGCGUAGAGAUCGGGAAGAACGCCGGCGGCGAAAGCGACUCUCUGGUCGGAAUCUGACGCUGAGGUGCGAAAGCUAGGGGAGCAAACGGG